rnacentral:rRNA from 1 species
GAUGAACGCUGGCGGCGUGCCUAAUACAUGCAAGUCGAGCGAACAGACGAGGAGCUUGCUCCUCUGACGUUAGCGGCGGACGGGUGAGUAACACGUGGAUAACCUACCUAUAAGACUGGGAUAACUUCGGGAAACCGGAGCUAAUACCGGAUAAUAUAUUGAACCGCAUGGUUCAAUAGUGAAAGACGGUUUUGCUGUCACUUAUAGAUGGAUCCGCGCCGCAUUAGCUAGUUGGUGAGGUAACGGCUUACCAAGGCGACGAUGCGUAGCCGACCUGAGAGGGUGAUCGGCCACACUGGAACUGAGACACGGUCCAGACUCCUACGGGAGGCAGCAGUAGGGAAUCUUCCGCAAUGGGCGAAAGCCUGACGGAGCAACGCCGCGUGAGUGAUGAAGGUCUUCGGAUCGUAAAACUCUGUUAUUAGGGAAGAACAAAUGUGUAAGUAACUAUGCACGUCUUGACGGUACCUAAUCAGAAAGCCACGGCUAACUACGUG